rnacentral:tmRNA from 1 species
GGGGGCGAUUCGGAUUCGACGACGGUAUCGAACCCUUAGGUGCAUGCCGAGGGCGUAGUGGUUCUCGUUAAUCAAAACACUACAAACCUAUUAGUUGCCAAAUCAAGCAACUUCGAAAGCGCAAACGACGCUGAGUACGCUCAGCUGAAACUUGCUUAAUCGUAGCUAAACCCUACGAGCUUUCCAGUCUAACCGGUUCGUUUGCUGGCUGGUAUUCAGACUGUCAUCGUAAGCAAACUCGCCACGAUCAGCAGGUCUCUGGCUGACGGGCUAAAACUUGUGGGAAUCGCAUCGCAGAACCCCGACCACUGGGUCGCUGUGGUGUUAAAUCAAAGGUGGAUCUAAGCAUGUAGAGCCGAAGGCUGAGAGCUGGCGGACGCGGGUUCAAAUCCCGCCGCCUCCACCA